UGAGUACACUACCCAGCACCAGGGUAACUUUAACACAGCUGCAUAAUUAUUUGAGAGUUCGGGGGAAAUCGUUAUUCUUUCAACCGUCCAUGCAGUCCAGCAGCUGUCAACAUGCAGUGGAAAUCAGGCGAUUUCGGAAGGUAUGUAUCUGCUUUUAACUUUUUUUUAUUAUUAUUCAGACGGAUUUUAAAAGUCCACCCAGAGAGAGAUACCCUUCGCAUUGCUCAGUCCGAGGGGCGGG